rnacentral:tRNA from 1 species
UCAGGAAUAGUUUAAUUAAAAAUAUUAAUUUUGGAGAUUAAAGAUAAAAGGAUAUUUUUUCCUGAA